rnacentral:rRNA from 1 species
AAACCGUUCAGGGGUAAACCUGAGAAACCGAAAGUUCGAAAGGAGAGAUUCACCGCGACUUUCCGGUCUCGGAUCCGGGCUAMUGUUCGCGGCGGAGCUCUUGGACAGACUCCGUAUACACGCCCGUCAGCGACGCUAUUGCUUUGGGUACUUUCAGGACCCGUCUUGAAACACGGACCAAGGAGUSUAGCAUGAACGCGAGUCUUAGGGACUCUAAAUUUAAAGAACUAAACCUUGAGGCGUAAUGAAAGKGAAGAUCCGCCUUGCGCGCGAUCUAGGGAAUACGGGCGAGGUCCUCAAAACCGAACCCCGCACUCCCGGGGCGUCUCGAUCUCAUCGCGAGAUGAGGCGCACCCAGAGCGUACACGCU